UACAGAGGGUGCGAGCGUUAAUCGGAAUUACUGGGCGUAAAGCGCACGUAGGCGGCUUGGUAUGUCGGGUGUGAAAUCCCCGGGCUCAACCUGGGAACUGCAUCCGAAACUGCCUUGCUCGAGUAUGGGAGAGGGAAGUGGAAUUUCCGGUGUAGCGGUGAAAUGCGUAGAUAUCGGAAGGAACAUCAGUGGCGAAGGCGACUUACUGGACGCAUAUUGACGCUGAGGUGCGAAAGCGUGGGGAGCAAACAGG
rnacentral:rRNA from 1 species